rnacentral:rRNA from 1 species
GAUUCGUCACACUAUCAUUAACUGAAUCCAUAGGUUAAUGAGGCGAACCGGGGGAACUGAAACAUCUAAGUACCCCGAGGAAAAGAAAUCAACCGAGAUUCCCCCAGUAGCGGCGAGCGAACGGGGAGGAGCCCAGAGCCUGAAUCAGCAUGUGUGUUAGUGGAAGCGUCUGGAAAGGUGCGCGAUACAGGGUGACAGCCCCGUACACAAAAGCGCAUGUGCUGUGAGCUCGAUGAGUAGGGCGGGACACGUGGUAUCCUGUCUGAAUAUGGGGGGACCAUCCUCCAAGGCUAAAUACUCCUGACUGACCGAUAGUGAACCAGUACCGUGAGGGAAAGGCGAAAAGAACCCCGGCGAGGGGAGUGAAAAAGAACCUGAAACCGU